rnacentral:rRNA from 1 species
GGGUUGUGAGGUUAAGCGACUAAGCGUACACGGUGGAUGCCCUGGCAGUCAGAGGCGAUGAAGGACGUGCUAAUCUGCGAAAAGCGUCGGUAAGGUGAUAUGAACCGUUAUAACCGGCGAUGUCCGAAUGGGGAAACCCAGUGCAAUUCGUUGCACUAUCGUUAACUGAAUACAUAGGUUAACGAGGCGAACCGGGGGAACUGAAACAUCUAAGUACCCCGAGGAAAAGAAAUCAACCGAGAUUCCCCCAGUAGCGGCGAGCGAACGGGGAGCAGCCCAGAGUCUGAAUCAGCUUGUGUGUUAGUGGAACGGUCUGGAAAGUCCGACGGUACAGGGUGAUAGUCCCGUACACCAAAAUGCACAGGCUGUGAACUCGAAGAGUAGGGCGGGACACGUGGUAUCCUGUCUGAAUAUGGGGGGACCAUCCUCCAAGGCUAAAUACUCCUGACUGACCGAUAGUGAACCAGUACCGUGAGGGAAAGGCGAAAAGAACCCCGGCGAGGGGAGUGAAAAAGAACCUGAAACCGUGUACGUACAAGCAGUGGGAGCACCUUCGGGUGUGACUGCGUACCUUUUGUAUAAUGGGUCAGCGACUUAUAUUCUGUAGCAAGGUUAACCGUAUAGGGGAGCCGCAGGGAAACCGAGUCUUAACUGGGCGUUAAGUUGCAGGGUAUAGACCCGAAACCCGGUGAUCUAGCCAUGGGCAGGUUGAAGGUUGGGUAACACUAACUGGAGGACCGAACCGACUAAUGUUGAAAAAUUAGCGGAUGACUUGUGGCUGGGGGUGAAAGGCCAAUCAAACCGGGAGAUAGCUGGUUCUCCCCGAAAGCUAUUUAGGUAGCGCCUCGUGAACUCAUCUUCGGGGGUAGAGCACUGUUUCGGCUAGGGGGUCAUCCCGACUUACCAACCCGAUGCAAACUACGAAUACCGAAGAAUGUUAUCACGGGAGACACACGGCGGGUGCUAACGUCCGUCGUGAAGAGGGAAACAACCCAGACCGCCAGCUAAGGUCCCAAAGUCAUGGUUAAGUGGGAAACGAUGUGGGAAGGCACAGACAGCCAGGAUGUUGGCUUAGAAGCAGCCAUCAUUUAAAGAAAGCGUAAUAGCUCACUGGUCGAGUCGGCCUGCGCGGAAGAUGUAACGGGGCUAAACCAUGCACCGAAGCUGCGGCAGCGACACGAUGUGUUGUUGGGUAGGGGAGCGUUCUGUAAGCCUGCGAAGGUGACCUGUGAGGGUUGCUGGAGGUAUCAGAAGUGCGAAUGCUGACAUAAGUAACGAUAAAGCGGGUGAAAAGCCCGCUCGCCGGAAGACCAAGGGUUCCUGUCCAACGUUAAUCGGGGCAGGGUGAGUCGACCCCUAAGGCGAGGCCGAAAGGCGUAGUCGAUGGGAAACAGGUUAAUAUUCCUGUACUUGGUGUUACUGCGAAGGGGGGACGGAGAAGGCUAUGUUAGCCGGGCGACGGUUGUCCCGGUUUAAGCAUGUAGGCUGGUUAUCCAGGCAAAUCCGGAUAAUCAAGGCUGAGGUGUGAUGACGAGGCACUACGGUGCUGAAGUAACAAAUGCCCUGCUUCCAGGAAAAGCCUCUAAGCAUCAGGUAACACGAAAUCGUACCCCAAACCGACACAGGUGGUCAGGUAGAGAAUACCAAGGCGCUUGAGAGAACUCGGGUGAAGGAACUAGGCAAAAUGGUGCCGUAACUUCGGGAGAAGGCACGCUGGUGUGUAGGUGAAGUCCCUGCGGAUGGAGCUGAGACCAGUCGAAGAUACCAGCUGGCUGCAACUGUUUAUUAAAAACACAGCACUGUGCAAACACGAAAGUGGACGUAUACGGUGUGACGCCUGCCCGGUGCCGGAAGGUUAAUUGAUGGGGUUAUCCGUAAGGAGAAGCUCUUGAUCGAAGCCCCGGUAAACGGCGGCCGUAACUAUAACGGUCCUAAGGUAGCGAAAUUCCUUGUCGGGUAAGUUCCGACCUGCACGAAUGGCGUAAUGAUGGCCAGGCUGUCUCCACCCGAGACUCAGUGAAAUUGAACUCGCUGUGAAGAUGCAGUGUACCCGCGGCAAGACGGAAAGACCCCGUGAACCUUUACUAUAGCUUGACACUGAACAUUGAGCCUUGAUGUGUAGGAUAGGUGGGAGGCUUUGAAGCGUGGACGCCAGUCUGCGUGGAGCCAACCUUGAAAUACCACCCUUUAAUGUUUGAUGUUCUAACGUUGGCCCCUUAUCGGGGUUGCGGACAGUGUCUGGUGGGUAGUUUGACUGGGGCGGUCUCCUCCCAAAGCGUAACGGAGGAGCACGAAGGUUAGCUAAUCCUGGUCGGACAUCAGGAGGUUAGUGCAAUGGCAUAAGCUAGCUUGACUGCGAGCGUGACGGCGCGAGCAGGUGCGAAAGCAGGUCAUAGUGAUCCGGUGGUUCUGAAUGGAAGGGCCAUCGCUCAACGGAUAAAAGGUACUCCGGGGAUAACAGGCUGAUACCGCCCAAGAGUUCAUAUCGACGGCGGUGUUUGGCACCUCGAUGUCGGCUCAUCACAUCCUGGGGCUGAAGUAGGUCCCAAGGGUAUGGCUGUUCGCCAUUUAAAGUGGUACGCGAGCUGGGUUUAGAACGUCGUGAGACAGUUCGGUCCCUAUCUGCCGUGGGCGCUGGAGAAUUGAGGGGGGCUGCUCCUAGUACGAGAGGACCGGAGUGGACGCAUCACUGGUGUUCGGGUUGUCAUGCCAAUGGCACUGCCCGGUAGCUAAAUGCGGAAGAGAUAAGUGCUGAAAGCAUCUAAGCACGAAACUUGCCCCGAGAUGAGUUCUCCCUGAGACUUUAAGUCUCCUGAAGGAACGUUAAAGACGAUGACGUUGAUAGGCCGGGUGUGUAAGCGCAGCGAUGCGUUGAGCUAACCGGUACUAAUGAACCGUGAGGCUUAACCUUACAACGCCGAAG